UUCGGUUGAUCCUGCCGGAGGCUACCGCUAUUGGAGUUCGAUUAAGCCAUGCGAGUCGCGAGAAAUUAGAUUCUCGGCGUACCGCUCAGUAACACGUGGGUAACCUGCCCUAUGCUGGAUAAUAACCUCGGGAAACUGAGAAUAAUGAUCCAUAGUUCACUACGCCUGGAACGGUGAGUGGAUGAAAGCUCCGGCGGCAUAGGAUGGGCCUGCGGCGUAUCAGGUUGUAGGGGGUGUAACGUACCCUCUAGCCCUCUACGCGUACGGGUGUUGGGAGACAUAGCCCGGAGAUGGAUUCUGAGACACGAAUCCAGACCCUACGGGGUGCAGCAGGCGCGAAAACUUGGCAAUGCGAGAAAUCGUGACCAGGGAACUCCAAGUGCAUGGGGUAAGACCCAUGCUUUUCUUGACUCUAAAUAGGUCUUGGAAUAAGGGGUGGGUAAGGACGGUGCCAGCCGCCGCGGUAAUACCGGCGCCUCAAGUGGUAGUCGCUUUUAUUGGGCCUAAAACGUCCGUAGCCGGUCUGAUACAUUCGUGGGUAAAUCAACCAGCUUAACUGGUUGAAUUCUGCGAGGACGGUCAGACUUGGGACCGGGAGAGGUGUGGGGUACGCUCAGGGUAGGGGUAAAAUCCUGUCAUCCUGAGCGGACCACCUGUUGCGAAGGCGCCACACUAGAACGGAUCCGACGGUCAGGGACGAAGCCUAGGGGCACGAACCGGAUUAGAUACCCGGGUAGUCCUAGGUGUAAACGCUGUGGACUUGAUGUUGGGGGUGCUCCGAGCACUCUCAGUGUCGAAGCGAAGGUGAUAAGUCCACUGCCUGGGAAGUACGGUCGCAAGGCUGAAACUUAAAGGAAUUGGCGGGGGAGCACCGCAACCUGAGGAUUGUGCGGUUUAAUUGGAUUCAACGCCGGA
rnacentral:rRNA from 1 species